UACGGAGGGUGCGAGCGUUGUCCGGAUUCACUGGGCGUAAAGGGAGCGUAGGCGGUUGAUUGAGUCGGAUGUGAAAGCGCGGAGCUCAACUCUGUAACGGCCUUCGAAACUGUUUGACUGGAGUGCUGUAGAGGUAAGUGGAAUUCCAUGUGUAGCGGUGGAAUGCGUAGAGAUCCGGAAGAACACCUGUGGCGAAGGCGGCUUACUGGACUGUUCCUGACGCUGAGGCGCGACAGUGUGGGGAGCAAACAGG
rnacentral:rRNA from 1 species